rfam:Camelus ferus unplaced genomic scaffold scaffold725, whole genome shotgun sequence.
GAGGGUAUAGCUCCAGCGGUAGAGCGCAUGCUUAGCAUGCACAGGGUCCUGGGUUCAAUCCCAGUACUUCCA